rnacentral:rRNA from 1 species
AUUGAACGCUGGCGGCAGGCUUAACACAUGCAAGUCGAGCGGGGAUAGGGUGCUUGCACCUGAUUCCUAGCGGCGGAUGGGUGAGUAAUGCUUAGGAAUCUGCCUGUUAGUGGGGGACAACGUUUCGAAAGGGGCGCUAAUACCGCAUACGUCCUACGGGAGAAAGCAGGGGAUCUUCGGACCUUGCGCUAAUAGAUGAGCCUAAGUCGGAUUAGCUAGUUGGUGGGGUAAAGGCCUACCAAGGCGACGAUCUGUAGCGGGUCUGAGAGGAUGAUCCGCCACACUGGGACUGAGACACGGCCCAGACUCCUACGGGAGGCAGCAGUGGGGAAUAUUGGACAAUGGGGGGAACCCUGAUCCAGCCAUGCCGCGUGUGUGAAGAAGGCCUUUUGGUUGUAAAGCACUUUAAGCGAGGAGGAGGCUUACCUGGUUAAUACCCGGGAUAAGUGGACGUUACUCGCAGAAUAAGCACCGGCUAACUCUGUGCCAGCCGCCGCCGUAAGAC